UAUUAAAGAAUUUCGGUUAUCGAUGGGGAUGCGUUCCAUUAGUUAGUUGGCGGGGUAACGGCCCACCAAGACGACGAUGGAUAGGGGUUCUGAGAGGAAGGUCCCCCACAUUGGAACUGAGACACGGUCCAAACUCCUACGGGAGGCAGCAGUGAGGAAUAUUGGUCAAUGGACGAGAGUCUGAACCAGCCAAGUAGCGUGAAGGAUGACUGCCCUAUGGGUUGUAAACUUCUUUUAUAUGGGAAUAAAACAGGGUAUGCAUACCCUCUUGUAUGUACCAUAUGAAUAAGGAUCGGCUAACUCCGUGCCAGCAGCCGCGGUAAUACGGAGGAUCCGAGCGUUAUCCGGAUUUAUUGGGUUUAAAGGGAGCGUAGGUGGAUUGUUAAGUCAGUUGUGAAAGUUUGCGGCUCAACCGUAAAAUUGCAGUUGAAACUGGCAGUCUUGAGUACAGUAGAGGUGGGCGGAAUUCGUGGUGUAGCGGUGAAAUGCUUAGAUAUCACGAAGAACUCCGAUUGCGAAGGCAGCUCACUGGACUGCAACUGACACUGAGGCUCGAAAGUGUGGGUAUCAAACAGGAUUAGAUACCCUGGUAGUCCACACAGUAAACGAUGAAUACUCGCUGUUUGCGAUAUACGGUAAGCG
rnacentral:rRNA from 1 species